GACGAACGCUGGCGGCGUGCUUAACACAUGCAAGUCGAACGGAAAGGCCCUGCUUUUGUGGGGUGCUCGAGUGGCGAACGGGUGAGUAACACGUGAGUAACCUGCCCUUGACUUUGGGAUAACUUCAGGAAACUGGGGCUAAUACCGGAUAGGAGCUCCUGCUGCAUGGUGGGGGUUGGAAAGUUUCGGCGGUUGUGGAUGGACUCGCGGCUUAUCAGCUUGUUGGUGGGGUAGUGGCUUACCAAGGCUUUGACGGGUAGCCGGCCUGAGAGGGUGACCGGCCACAUUGGGACUGCGAGACGGAGCAGACUCCUACGGGAGGCAGCAGUGGGGAAUAUUGCACAAUGGGCGGAAGCCUGAUGCAGCAACGCCGCGUGCGGGAUGACGGCCUUCGGGUUGUAAACCGCUUUCGCCUGUGACGAAGCGGGAGUGACGGUAAUGGGUAAAGAAGCACCGGCUAACUACGUG
rnacentral:rRNA from 1 species